AUUGAACGCUGGCGGCAGGCCUAACACAUGCAAGUCGAGCGAGAAAGCCCUUCGGGUGAGUAGAGCGGCGGACGGGUGAGUAACGCGUAGGAAUCUACCCAGUAGUGGGGGACAACAGUCGGAAACGACUGCUAAUACCGCAUACGCCCUAUGGGGGAAAGCGGGGGAUCUUCGGACCUCGCGCUAUUGGAUGAGCCUGCGUCGGAUUAGCUAGUUGGUGGGGUAAAGGCCUACCAAGGCGACGAUCCGUAGCUGGUCUGAGAGGAUGAUCAGCCACACUGGAAACUGAGACACGGUCCAGACUCCUACGGGAGGCAGCAGUGGGGAAUAUUGCGCAAUGGGGGAAAACCCUGACGCAGCCAUGCCGCGUGUGUGAAGAAGGCUCUAGGGUUGU
rnacentral:rRNA from 1 species